rnacentral:lncRNA from 1 species
CACGUUCCUGUUCAUUCACACAGAAUCCGGGGCAUGAAUGUUCUUAGCAGCUCUGUUCCACACAGCCCCACACUGGAAACCACACAGACGUCCUGCGAGUCCCAUCCCUUGCUCAUGUCGCCGGGGCUCCGGAGGAGGGCCACUCUGUAAAAGCGGCCGCCAGAUGGCGCCCAACGACCGGCGCGGAGGGGUCAGCGGGAGGGAACCGGGUCACCAGCCAGCGAGAGUGCACAGCCUGAGCCCACCGCCGGGUCAGGUCUCUCUCUGUCUCUGUCUCUGUCUCUGUCUCUGUCUCUCUCUGUCUCUGUCUCUGUCUCUGUCUCUCUCUGUCUCUCUGGGCCCGCUUGGGGCGGGCGGGAGGUCACCACGUGAGGCCCCAGGGUGUCCACCUCGGAGCUCCCAGGCAGCACAGGGCAACCCUGGGCGCAGAAGGAGGUGUUGGAAAAUCGGCGGGGAGGGGGGUGGGGUGGGUGGGCUUGCCAGGAAGGGGACAGACUCCCCACGUGACUCCUGGGCCGGGCCGGGGCUGCCAGCUGGCUGACGCGGACAGAGGUGGAAAAGUCCCCGGAGAUGCCACGGGGCAGGCCGGGGCUGCCGGCCCCCGCUUCCCGGAGCGCCCGAGCACUUCCCGGGCUCCCGGGAGGACUUAGAAAAUCAGGGCGGGGUGGGGGGUGGGGGUCGCUGUCAAACCGAAACCAUGCACGUCAUCAGAGAAGGACCGUGACGACGGAGGAAUUGUCCGCAGUCUGUCAGGAAUUGUGUGCAGCCUGUCACUUCCGGCCCAGAGGGUCUCUCUAAGGCAGACGGACAGACAGAGCCCACAAGUCGUAGAGGAAAGGACCGAGCCGCUUGGCCGCGGAAAAGUUUACAACACAAAACAGCGGUGCACGUAUUUCCCUUCCAAAAAAGAAGAACGGGAAAGGAGAUGUUAAAGGAGGAGACUAGAAGUUAGAGAAAAGUAUCCUUUCGGGAGUGAGAAAAACAAAUUCUGAUUUUGCAUCAGCUUCCCUCCGAUCUUGAAACUCAUUGACUUGAUUCCAUUCUGUCGACGGAAAUAAUCCGGAACCAAUCUAUCCGUGAAAAUCGGGGGCACAACCAAAGGGACGUCUAUCGACCCACCCACCAAGGAUUCCCCCCCCCCGCACGGCACAGCAGGAUGCCUGAGAGAUCCAUGCAGCCCUACAGUGGCAAGUCACAUUCGCACAGUCAAAACUCAAUGGCAGAGACAAAACGUUAAGGUCAGCGAGAGGGAAGAGAAUAACCGGCCCAGGAGCAACGGUGUGAAGAACACGGAGAAGACGGGUCCUAGACGCCGGGGUCCCCGGAGCAGCGAUUUCAUCAGAGGCCCGCGAACGUCCACGAUCUCCACACCACGUUUAUGGCCGACUGCGUGCGUGGGUCCUUUGGAAUCGACCAGGCUACUGUCCGGGCCACUUUGGGACAUCGUGGCCAGCUGCCCCGAGCGGUGGAGCUGUCAUUCGAGUGUAAGAUGGGGCCUGUCCGGGGAGAGAAUGGGGAUGGGGAAAGGGAGGCCGC